UUGAUUAGUGGCGCACGGGUGAGUAAUGCAUAGAUAAUGUGCCCCUUAGUUCGGGAUAGCCACUGGAAACGGUGAUUAAUACCGGAUACUCCUUCUUGUUAUAAGACAAGUCGGGAAAGUUUUUCGCUAAGGGAUCAGUCUAUGUUCCAUCAGCUUGUUGGUGAGGUAAUGGCUCACCAAGGCUAUGACGGAUAUCUGGUUUGAGAGGAUGAUCAGACACACUGGAACUGAGACACGGUCCAGACUCCUACGGGAGGCAGCAGUGAGGAAUAUUGCACAAUGGAGGAAACUCUGAUGCAGCAACGCCGCGUGGAGGAUGACGCAUUUCGGUGUGUAAACUCCUUUUAUUAGGGAAGAUAAUGACGGUACCUAAUGAAUAAGCACCGGCUAACUCCGUGCCAGCAGCCGCGGUAAUACGGAGGGUGCAAGCGUUACUCGGAAUCACUGGGCGUAAAGGGUGCGUAGGCUGGCUUUUAAGUCAGACGUGAAAUCCAAUGGCUCAACCAUUGAACUGCAUUUGAAACUGAAAGCCUAGAGUUCAGAAGGGGCAGAUGGAAUUAGUGGUGUAGGGGUAAAAUCCGUAGAUAUCACUAGGAAUAUCAAAAGCGAAGGCGAUCUGCUGGGAUGAU
rnacentral:rRNA from 1 species